UUUAGCUUGCUUGAGGGGGCCUAGUUGUCGCGAAAAUGUAGUAAUUAAUGGAAUUAACUUUUGUUCUGUGUUCUUUUUUUCAGGGAGAACGGGCCGGCCUGGCUGGAAGAGGGCGGUCACUUCCCCUUUAAUAGUCAGAAGAAAACGUUUGGAAUAGCCGCGAGGUCUAAGGGCCUUGAAAAGGGUCCUGGUGGCCUCCUCUACGUGAUGAGGACGUCGAGGUCGGAGGUCACGGAAGGAGCGGAGGUCCUGAUCGAUGAGCUGGCGUAUAGGCUUCGAGACGGACUUCAAGGCUGGUUCCCAGAUAGACGGCGUAGUAAAAGGUAACACCGCCUGACCAGGUGGUGGAGUGGUCAGCGCCGGCGAGGAGGACGACGGACAGAGUCGCUUCCGGGUCGCGGCACUUGCGAGGGAGAGACGGUUGGGUCUAGGGGCUGAGGAAGCGGGAAUGGUGACUGGGGGCUCCGGGUCCGGCGUGGGAGAUCCAAGGCUCGUCUCCAGGACGCCAGGAGGGUCAAUGACUGCCGAGGUGGUCCGCACCGGUGGGACGACCGGAGGAGGACGUGGCCUGGUCACUGGUGCCAUAGUGGACUGUGGUCGUCUGGGAAGCGGUGGAAAGGCCCCAAGGUCCGAGAGGAGCAGUGGAGUGGC